AUUGAACGCUGGCGGCAGGCCUAACACAUGCAAGUCGAACGAGUGGCGGACGGGUGAGUAAUGUCUGGGAACCUGCCCGAUGGAGGGGGAUAACUACUGGAAACGGUCGCUAAUACCGCAUACCUUCUGCUGUGCCCAGAUGGGAUUCGCUAGUAGGUGGGGUAACGGCUCACCUGGGCGACGCUCCCUAGCUGGUCUGAGAGGAUGACCAGCCAAACGGGAACGGAGACACGGUCCAGACUCCUAGGGGAGGCAGCAGUGGGGAAGAUUGCACAAUGGGCGCAAGCCGGAUGCAGCCAUGCCGCGUGUAUGAAGAAGGCCUUCGGGUUGUAAAGUACUUUCAGCGAGGAGGCGGUACUCGCAGAAGAAGCACCGGCUAACUCCGUGCCAGCAGCCGCGGUAAUUC
rnacentral:rRNA from 1 species